AAAUUGAAGAGUUUGAUCAUGGCUCAGAUUGAACGCUGGCGGCAGGCCUAACACAUGCAAGUCGAACGGUAACAGGAAGCAGCUUGCUGCUUUGCUGACGAGUGGCGGACGGGUGAGUAAUGUCUGGGAAACUGCCUGAUGGAGGGGGAUAACUACUGGAAACGGUGGCUAAUACCGCAUAACGUCGCAAGACCAAAGAGGGGGACCUUCGGGCCUCUUGCCAUCAGAUGUGCCCAGAUGGGAUUAGCUUGUUGGUGAGGUAACGUCUCACCAAGGCGACGAUCCCUAGCUGGUCUGAGAGGAUGACCAGCCACACUGGAACUGAGACACGGUCCAGACUCCUACGGGAGGCAGCAGUGGGGAAUAUUGCACAAUGGGCGCAAGCCUGAUGCAGCCAUGCCGCGUGUAUGAAGAAGGCCUUCGGGUUGUAAAGUACUUUCAGCGGGGAGGAAGGUGUUGCGGUUAAUAACCGCAGC
rnacentral:rRNA from 1 species